AAAUAAUGAUUGAUUACUAUAAACGAAAAAAAAUUACAGGUAAUGGAGUAUCCAGUAAUUGGAAUAGUACUUGUUGGUGCAGUUCGAAAUUUAUUGGAAUCUUCAGACGAAGAUGAUUCUAGCGAUGAUGAAGAUUUCAUCUAUUGUUUUGGAAAUCGUACAGGACAAGUAUGAGGCGCGAAACUUUUUGAAUUUCUUAUAAAUUUACUCGGACCCGACUUACAAAAACAAUCUGUCCACUUUGGCAGACAUCCUAUUUCUGUCGAAAAACAGCUUCUUCUGAGUAUUUGGACCAUGGCAACACCAGAUUCUUACAGAUCAGUAUGUGAUCGUU